CACGUAGGCGGAUUGUUAAGUCGGGGGUGAAAUCCUGGAGCUCAACUCCAGAACUGCCUUCGAUACUGGCGAUCUCGAGUCCGGGAGAGGUGAGUGGAACUGCGAGUGUAGAGGUGAAAUUCGUAGAUAUUCGCAAGAACACCAGUGGCGAAGGCGGCUCACUGGCCCGGUACUGACGCUGAGGUGCGAAAGCGUGGGGAGCAAACA
rnacentral:rRNA from 1 species